CCAAAUAUAAAUCUUUGGAGGUUGCAGCUACAGGAACCACCUGAAGUGAAGCUUUAUUAUGGUGAAAGAGGGAAGAACAAGGAGGUUGAUAUGCUUACUAAGGAAUCACGUGGGAGUUCAAAUAUUUUGUUCAGGUUGUGUAAUAUAGUUACUCCCCCUAGUAUUUGCAUUAGUUCUUUAGUAGAAGGCUCUGUCAGGAUUUCUAAUGUUGGUGAUCAGUCACUUGUAAUUUUGGGCAACCCUCUUUUACCUUUGUGAACGUUGAAUGUAGUAGUUAAUCCCUCUUUUACCUCAAAAAAAAAAAUAAAAACACUACUAGAAAAAUAUUUAUUUGCUGCUAUUAAUUUGCUGCAUUUUUGUUAAAACGCUGCAAAUUAAAAGGGGUUUUAAAUGUACAUGAAUCAAAACUAUUUAUUUGCAGGGGUUUUUUAAAGAAUACGCAGCAAAUCAAUAUUUUCCCCCUUACACUUUCAUCCUUACCCGCCCUAAGCCCCUAAUUCAUUUCACUCACCCCUCCCUCACGUUCUGCUUGCUUCUUCUGUUAAAAAAAAAAAGUUCUUGCUUCAAACUCCACCACCUCACUCUCCACCACCUCACUUUCCACAACCAUCGCCGACCGUUCCUCCUCGUCAGUCUCUACAAGCGGCCGCCGCAGCCUCACCGUCGAAUUGUAGGACGAAACCCUAAUCAGUGAUGAUGAUAUUACUGCGUACCCUGAAACCUCUGGAGAAUUAUUAAUUAUCUCUUAAAAACAUUUCCAAGGAAGUUUGUUGAACAAAUGAGAAGUGAAGGCCAAACAUAUGAUCACUUUUGUCCUUGCUAGCUUGGCACCAACCACCUUUAAUUGUGACUUUGGGAACAUUGGAUGCUUUUGGUAAUCUGUGUACCUACUUGCACUAUUUAUCAAUUUGACUCUGCUCGACCAACCACGACAAGGAGAAAUGUUAAAAUGAAGACUAUUGUGAGCUUUUUUUUCACGAGGUUUAAGCUAAAUGGAAACCGUGUGAAUAGAAAAGAACCUCUAUGGAAACUUGUGAAGUGUGCUCAACAAAGAGGUGGUACCGAGUGUGGCUUUUACACAAUGAGAUACAUGUAUGACAUACUCUCCAAAUACGGUGAAGAAAAUGAUAUUGAUGAGGUUUGCAUGUCUUUAAAUGAAGAUCCUUACACUGAUGAUGAUAUUGAAGAAGUGCGGAACAUAUGGGCAUCAUAUUUCACUAAUUAUUGCGUGUGAUCAUAGUUUCGCAGCAAUAUUUUUUGACUUUUGUUUUGGAGUGAUAUUUUUUGUAUGUAGAAAAUUGAAUCGUACAAUACAAUUUAUCAUAUGUAUUGUGGUAAUCUAAUUUGGGCUAAUUUAAAGUAUUUUGUUCAUAAA